UGUGCGCUGUGGUGCUAACUGGCGAACGGCCGCAAACUAAACAAAACUCCGGCUAAAAAUAAGUGAGACAGAAAAUCGUUCGGUUCUUUAACUAAAAACCGAAGGGGUAAGUUGUUUUUAAUAUACGCGGUUGGAUCUAGAUCUAACGGUAGGCUACACAAUACAAAAACAAAAAAACGAACAAAAGAAAAGAAAAAAAGAAAAA
rnacentral:lncRNA from 1 species